AUUGAACGCUGGCGGCAGGCCUAACACAUGCAAGUCGAGCGGAUGAAGGGAGCUUGCUCCUGGAUUCAGCGGCGGACGGGUGAGUAAUGCCUAGGAAUCUGCCUGGUAGUGGGGGAUAACGUCCGGAAACGGGCGCUAAUACCGCAUACGUCCUGAGGUAGAAAGUGGGGGAUCUUCGGACCUCACGCUAUCAGAUGAGCCUAGGUCGGAUUAGCUAGUUGGUGGGGUAAAGGCCUACCAAGGCGACGAUCCGUAACUGGUCUGAGAGGAUGAUCAGUCACACUGGAACUGAGACACGGUCCAGACUCCUACGGGAGGCAGCAGUGGGGAAUAUUGGACAAUGGGCGAAAGCCUGAUCCAGCCAUGCCGCGUGUGUGAAGAAGGUCUUCGGAUUGUAAAGCACUUUAAGUUGGGAGGAAGGACAGUAAGUUAAUACCUUGCUGUUUUGACGUUACCAACAGAAUAAGCACCGGCUAACUUCGUG
rnacentral:rRNA from 1 species